UACAGAGGGUGCAAGCGUUAAUCGGAAUUACUGGGCGUAAAGCGUGCGUAGACGGUUAUUUAAGUCAGGUGUGAAAGCCCAGGGCUCAACCUUGGAAUUGCAUUUGAGACUGAAUAGCUAGGGUGCGGAAGAGGGAAGCGGAAUUUCCGGGUGUAGCGGUGAAAUGCGUAGAUAUCGGAAGGAACACCAGUGGCGAAAGCGGCUUCCUGGUCCAGCACCGACGUUCAGGCACGAAAGUGUGGGGAUCAAACA
rnacentral:rRNA from 1 species